rnacentral:rRNA from 1 species
UACGUAGGGUCCAAGCGUUAUCCGGAAUCACUGGGCGUAAAGCGUGCGUAGGUGGCGUGUUAAGUGUGAUGUAAAUCGUGUGGCUCAACCAUAUCGAUGUGUCGCAUACUGGCAUGCUAGAGGGAAGCAGAGGCAAGUGGAAUUUGUAGUGGUAGCAGUGAAAUGCGUAGAUAUCGGGAGGAACACCUGUGGCGAAGGCGGUCUCCUGGGGCAUUCU